CUCUGCUUUCCUUUUUCCAAAACGCGUGUCAGAACACUGAUUUAACCUGUCAUUACUGUCUCCUCUGCUUCCACUCCAGGUAGAAUGCUGCAUCCCUGCACAGCUCCUGGCAGGUAGCACGAAAAGACAGAUGAUUUUGACUCGGGAAAAUAGUUGAUGGAAGGUGAAGAAGUGGACAUUGGUCCAGACAUGGACACACCAAAUUGGUCUGAAGAAAGUGACAAGGAAAACGAUCAACAGCCAUUAAGCAGAGAAGACUCUGGAAUUCAGGUAGACAGGACACCUUUAGAAGAACAAGAUCAAAACAGAAAACUGGAUCCUUGUAUCAGCUGGAAAGGUACUGUGUGUUGUGAGGUGCUAACAUUUUCUAAUAGACAAAUUCCCCAGAAGAAAAGGCAAGCUUGAGAUCAGUUUGAUGUGAUCAAGGUAUCGGCUAAGCAGUAUCAUCUU